rnacentral:rRNA from 1 species
AUGAAUCGGAAGCGCCCAUCGGCCUUGGCUGCCUGCAGCAGCAAUCGCCCUUCCGCGAUGACUGCGUGCAGGAAGCGCCGUCGUGCCGCCACCUUGCAAUCCGAUGCAUCUUCGUGGGCGUCGCUGCACGAAGACUUGGUCAGCCUGAUCGGUUGGCGGGUCUUGGCUGCUGACUUGCUUGACUAUGUCCGAUUCCGUGCGGUUUGCCCUUACUGGCGCUCCGCCACCGUCUCCCCGCGCGGCCGCGGCCUCCACGACCCGCGCUUCCACCCGCGCCGCUGGAUGAUGCUCCCCGAGGGCCACGGCAUCCACCCCGGCCACCGCAAGCUGGGCGGGUACAUCCGCUUCAUCAACCUGUCCACCGGCGCCAUCGUCCGCGCCCGGCUCCCGCUUUUCAGCAACCACUGCGUCCUCGACUCGGUCGACGGGAUCCUGCUGCUGCAGCGGGACGAGGACACCGUCAUCCGCCUCCUCCACCCCUUCACCGACGACAUUGUGGACCUCCCUCCGCUCGCCACCCUUCUAGCAGGGUUAGCACCCUCCCAGGAGAAGAUGUUCAGCUGGAACGUUCUGAGGACCGUUGGUGCUACCUCAUUCACAGUGAGCGCGGAUGGAGUCGUCACCGCCAUGAUUGGGCUCUUUAAAUUGGGACGGGUAGCCUGUGCCACCACCAUGGACCAGCAAUGGCGGCUCUCGACAUGGAGCAUAUCAAAUGGUUGGAGGCCACUGUCGUUCCAAGGCAAGAUGUACACCUUGCACACUCCCACAAAUGGCAGCGAGCUUCAGAUUUUCCAGAUUGACUUGCCGGGGCAUGGGGAGAAGGAGGACUUUGAUAGAAUUUUGUGUUAUCUACCGGCACCUAAGUUGAUUGCCACAUGCCUGGCAGGCAAACCUCAGAAGCCUUAUUACUACCUCGCAGAAUGUGAUUCGGAGAUCCUGGUGAUCGGCCGUUACCUUUCUGGUUCACUCGACGUUGAGGUUUACAGACUAUCUGACAUUAUCCUAGACAGGAUUGCCCCAGUAACGAGCAUCGGAGGAAAUGCUCUCUUUGUUGAAGAAAGGGUCUUGAGUGUCAGCAGUAGAGUGCACCCCACCAUUGUGGGUGACUCUAUUGUACAACUCCAUAACAAGGAAAUUUAUCUUGGACAUUACCACCUUGCCACUGGGACAUGGUUGCCAACAGCGGAUGGGUGUGUCAGACGUGGUGUACCGAGUCCUUGUAGCCUCAUCUACCAUAUCUUCACCUGUUGCUAUCGCCCCACUUGGAACAAAGGGGGGCUUCUUUAUCAGGGUAAUGUGCAACCUAGUUGGAAAGUGAAGAGAAAAUGGCGUGAGGGGGCAUAA